AAGAAUUUAGUUAAUUAAUAACAUCAAUUUGUCAAAUUGAAAUAAAUAAUCACUAUUAGUUCUUA
rnacentral:tRNA from 1 species